rnacentral:rRNA from 1 species
UUAUGGCUCAGGAUGAACGCUAGCUACAGGCUUAACACAUGCAAGUCGAGGGGCAGCAGAUCGAAGCUUGCUUUGAUGGCUGGCGACCGGCGCGCGGGUGAGUAACGCGUAUCCAACCUUCCCUAUAGUAGAGGAUAGCCCGGCGAAAGUCGGAUUAAUACUCUAUGUUUUCCAAUGCAGACAUCUAAGUUGGAACAAAGGUUCACCGCUAUAGGAUGGGGAUGCGUCUGAUUAGAUAGUAGGCGGGGUAACGGCCCACCUAGUCGACGAUCAGUAGGGGUUCUGAGAGGAAAGUCCCCCACAUUGGAACUGAGACACGGUCCAAACUCCUACGGGAGGCAGCAGUAAGGAAUAUUGGUCAAUGGGCGAGAGCCUGAACCAGCCAAAGUAGCGUGCAGGAUGACGGCCCUAUGGGUUGUAAACUGCUUUUAUCGGGGGAUAAAGUGAGGGACGUGUCCCUUUUUGUAGGUACCCGAUGAAUAAGGACCGGCUAAUUCCGUGCCAGCCGCUGC